UUAAUCUCAAACUUUGAAGUGAUUUCAUCUCUUCGAAGCUUUGGAUUUUGGGGGGUUUUUGCUGGCAACUUCAUUUGUUAGCUCCUCUUAAAUGUAUUAGCAGGGAAAACCAAUUUUCAAGGGAUGAACUUGGCUCUGGUUUGAUAAUUGAUAUCUAUGCCAUUGCUUAGGGAAGUCGGAAAAGUGGUUUUCAAGCUUACAACUUGUCUUUCGAGACACUUUUGGA
rnacentral:misc_RNA from 1 species